rnacentral:rRNA from 1 species
GGAUUUUUAAGUGAGGUGUGAAAGCCCCGGGCUUAACCUGGGAAUUGCAUUUCAGACUGGGAAUCUAGAGUACUUUAGGGAGGGGUAGAAUUCCACGUGUAGCGGUGAAAUGCGUAGAGAUGUGGAGGAAUACCGAAGGCGAAGGCAGCCCCUUGGGAAUGUACUGACGCUCAUGUGCGAAAGCGUGGGGAGCAAACAGGAUUAGAUACCCUGGUAGUCCACGCUGUAAACGCUGUCGAUUUGGGGGUUGGGCUUUAAGCUUGGCGCCCGUAGCUAACGUGAUAAAUCGACCGCCUGGGGAGUACGGCCGCAAGGUUAAAACUCAAAUGAAUUGACGGGGGCCCGCACAAGCGGUGGAGCAUGUGGUUUAAUUCGAUGCAACGCGAAGAACCUUACCUACUCUUGACAUCCAGAGAAGAGACUAGAGAUAGUUUUGUGCCUUAGGGAACUUUGAGACAGGUGCUGCAUGGCUGUCGUCAGCUCGUGUUGUGAAAUGUUGGGUUAAGUCCCGCAACGAGCG